rnacentral:rRNA from 1 species
CAGAGGGUGCGAGCGUUGUUCGGAAUUACUGGGCGUAAAGCGCGCGCAGGCGGCCUUUUAAGUCUACCCGUGAAAUGCCGGGGCUCAACUCCGUGCACGCCGGGGGAUACUGGGAGGCUGGAGACAGGUAGAGGCAAGCGGAAUUCCGGGUGUAGCGGUGGAAUGCGUAGAGAUCCGGAAGAACACCUGAGGCGAAGGCGGCUUGCUGGGCCUGAUCUGACGCUGAGGCGCGAAAGCGUGGGGAGCAAACAGGAUUAGAUACCCUGGUAGUCCACGCCGUAAACGAUGGGCACUAGACGCGGGUGGGAUCGACCCCUUCCGUGUCGCAGCUAACGCGAUAAGUGCCCCGCCUGGGGAGUACGGCCGCAAGGCUG